rnacentral:pre_miRNA from 1 species
AGGCAAGAUGUUGGCAUAGCUGUGAUUUAAAUAUUAACCCAGCUGUGUCUUCAUACUGCCAUU